CUCUCAACCAAUGAGGAGAUGGGAGAGGCAGGACUUGCAGCGCGAUCUGCGUCAGAAAUAGAAAGGACUUCUAUUUUAGCCCUUGGCAACGCAGACGCUUGUUGGCGCAAUAAUUGAAUAACAUGGAUUUCUACAUUUAUUUUGCGAUGUGUCUGGUCAGCAUGUCACUUCCUACUGGCGCACACUAUAGAACGGAAGUCAGUCCAGUUGUUAUCGACGAUAUAACGUUACUACCACUAUGUCGCAGUUUGUUUACUAGGUGUCUUCAGGACUUGCCUCAAAUUAAUAUUAAUGUUGUAAGUUACAUCGAAUUGUUAAAUCAGCCUCCGAGACUCCAGCUAGCAAGAAUGAAAAAGGGUUCAAGAUGUAUAUAGGAUGCUACAUAGACAACUAUGAAGGUGAGUACCAAGUCAGUGACCGAUAUAACGUUAGCUAGCUAAUUUAACUAUUAACUGUAGCUAGCUAGUUACUUUGUAAAAGGAUGUAACGUUGACAGAAUCUACCUGAGAAUGUGUGUAUUUUCAUUCGCUUGGUUAAGUUAUGCUUGCUAGCUAAAAAUCAUUGUUAUUCAUGUCUUCUACACAGUAUCUAACAGAGACAUUGACAGGGGAGAUCACCGUGAGGGCUGCCUGUCACAGGUCCAUGAGGAAGAGUGAAAAGCCGCACAGCAUGAGCGCAGGGAAAGGUUAUAGAUAGCUACUAGGGACCUUGUUAAACAUCUCCUGUGGGACACUGUCAUUAUGGUCAAAAUGUGUUGGAGACAGUGUCAACGUUUAAUCUUAUCAGUAGAUAGAUAUUAAUGAUGGGUCCCAAUCCCAGUUUAGAAUUGCCCACUUAACAGGUUAUUUGGUAAAGAUAUGUUGAUGCAGUGUUUGGUAAUUGUGUUACUGAGACACAAUGUAUUCCUGUAUAGUUAGAUGAGCCCCUAGUUAAGAAGACUAGACACUACUAUGUUUAUUAUUCAUGAGCCGCAUCAUUCUUGUUUCUCACUUCAGUCUUUCAUCACACUUAUCUUCACAGAUGGUGUUAAAGCACUCCGUAUCAGUGAUGGUGGUCCAAUGCUCCUGUGUUGCAGGAAGUGCUCUGUGCAAUCAUCUGGUGGCCCUUCUUUACCAGACAGCGCACUAGUUCCGUAAACCUACUAACUCGUGUGCUGAUGGAAUAAGAAGUUCUCUCUACAAAGAACUCAAUGGAUACAUGCCUGACAUGGAUCUUCUCCGUGUCUCAGAAAGAUCAUUCUUUCAACAUGCACUCUCAGCCUGGCAAUGGAUUGGGCCUCCCUAACCUCAUGCGCUGGCAUCUGUGUGCGUCUUGACAGAAAGGCUGGCUGGUAGACAUUGCACGAAACAAUGUCAUCUACGAGAAAGCCCUUAUCCACCAUAAUGGCCAUGUCGGGUGAGUAAGGAAAUAAUUCCAGACUGCUUGAAGAUCUCCUUGUCACUCACAGAUCCAGCAUACAACCAUGACACAAAAGUGACAGCUACAUGUGGUGACAUUCCCAACAUGCCCUUAAAGGUACAGUGUGACUUGUAGGAAGAAAACACCUCACUGCAGUAGUAGUGAAGAUGAUGUCUGGCAGUGGAGUUCAGUGCAGUCGAUCACUACCUGGGUGUUUGGAUAGUCCUUGAACUCAGGUGGCAGGUGGGAUUUGAUGGUUUCCUUGGGGAUCCAUAUCCGUGCUGAUCCAAGCAGACAGUAGAGGAAGUUGGCCCAAGAGAUGAUAAUCCGGCUCACUGUCGAUUGGUGGAUGCUGAACCGAUGGGCCAAAUCCUUCUGCUUCAGACCCAGCGACAGACGAGUCAUAAACAAGAAGAACUCGCCGAUUGAUGGCAGUGUCUGAACGUAAAGAAAACCGUUUUAGUACAAUAUAGUCCUUAUAUUCGGUCCUUAAUAAAAAACGUAUAUAAUGUUUAACAAUUACAGUAAGAUCAAAUAAUAUUCUGUUAAGUAUUUAAAGAAGUUGUCCCUUACUGGUUUUCUUCGAGUAACACUUGUUUCAGAUGGAUUGGUGCUUGUGACUCUUAUAAACUUGGUCUCUGCUGCCCGCUCAAUCAAGUGCCAGAAGGCCAUCAGGUCGGUGUAGCUUGCAAAUCUAAAGACGGACUUUGAAUACCAAAAAAGCUCAUUACUAUUAUUGCCCAUCUUCUCUAGGCAUCAAGUAGCACUAGACAUGACCUAGAUGCUAUUGAUUCCUGUUUUUCUUGUUACUGCAAUUGGUACUGUAAUUCACAGCAGCGAAUUUGUUUAAAUGAUCAGUUAUUUAACCUGGGAAGUGGAGUAAGAACCAAAUCUUAUUUGCAGCAACGACCUGGGAUCAUUUCUGGGGGUUAACUGAAGACUAAUGUAAAGACAAUAUACAUUCAAUGUGCCUACUUAUGCUAAAAUAUGCUAGCCUAGUUUUAAAUAACAAUGAACAUUUUCUUAAAGUUAAGAUGGACUUUGGGAUGAUAAUAAUAAAUAGUAAUGCUGGAUAAUAAUAAUAUUGUAACGACCCGGUAUUGUGUUGUGUGUUAUGGUUCUCAUGGCUACUAGCAGGGGUAAAUAUGUCAGGACAGAGGGAAAGGUUGGGGGGGGUAUGAUGGGUAAUCCCGCGGGAUUUGGAAAUGCAUAAAUAGGGAUUACUGUCUCAUCAUCUUUCUUUUCUGUUCGGAGCCAGACAUGAUAUAAUUGUGUACGUUCGGCAUUUAGCGGCGUGGGCUGUGGCCUGAACAAUAGCCCAGUUUAGGAAUAAACCUGUGUUCUGACCUGCACACCUAGAGUCCGUCUCUUUUCCCUUUAUGACCCAGCCGGGUCAUUACAUUGGCGUCAGAAGUGCUUUCAAACUACGGGAUCGAGACUAGGCGAGUUAGCUGUUCAGUAUAGGCCGGGUUGGCUUUAGCGUGACUCGCAUCUACGGUCAUGAUGCUUGGGGCGAAGCGGAAAAUUAAGGAAGAGUCGGACAAUGUGUCCGUUGUGGGCUCGGGGGUGCCCGGUCGGGAGGGUCGGGCGGCGACUGCCGUAGAAGAGCUGGAGGGCCACAUGGCGGGAGUUAAAUUGUCAGUCAGCAAGAUGGCAGAACUGGCGGGUUUUCCUUCACACCGCUCGAGAGCAGACGUCACGGCGACGGGGAUAUCGACGUCACCGGGUGCGGAAAUGGCGGGGCCUGCUUAUGUAAACAGAGAUGGCAGCGGCCUAUUGCCAUUAGCCACGGUAGCGGCUAAACUACCAAAGUUCAAUGGACAAGGUAAAUGGGAAGUUUUUUUCACUCUGAUGAGACGAAAGCGUUACAGCUUGCCCUGAGGAGGCGUCGGAAUGCCUGUUAACGCUAGCCCCGGACGAGAGGGGCGACUACGGUGCGCUAGUGGAGGCAUUGGGGGGCCGUUUCGGCAGCGACGCGCAGCCCAACAUGCUGCGGAUGGAACUGAGUAACAAAAAGAGACUUCAGGGGGAAUCAUUAAAGGCGUUGGCAAGUGGUAUUCUGAGCCUGACCAGGCGGGCUUAUGCAACUAUGCCGAUUGGGGUGCAAGACGAGCUGGCACGGGACAGUUUUAUUAGAGCGCUCUCUUCCACCGAACUGGGUAAGCAUGUUCAGAUGGCGGACCCACCAUCUCUGCGGGCUGCAGUGGAGAUAGCCAGGAAGAGGGAGCUGAUCUGGGGUAAGGGAGUGAGAGUGGAAGUCGCCAGUCAACCAGAGGUGAGAGCAGCGGUGGCUGGGGUGCCAGGGGUCACGAAACCAGAGUGGGUCGCGAGUUGGGCGGGCUAGUCAAGACUGCUUCGCUUGUCAUGGAGAGGGGCUCCAGGCAGCGUCGCAGUGUCAGCUCAACUCCUAUUGUCUGCUGGGGUUGCGGCCAGCCUGGCCACAUUCAGCGGGAGUGUGGCAGAUUCCCCCGUCACCAGGGAAACGACGGUGGGUUCUCGCGCAGGGGGCAGCGCGGACCCACCGCCCCCGAAUCCACUGUAAGCAAAAGAGGUACCCAGCAGCGCAGACAAGAGGGUGGGGACCUGCUCCCCCAGGGUGUAGCUGCCGCCGUGUUUCCUAGUCCGGUAGUUGUGGUGGGAUGUACCACCGUUGGGGACUUCUGCAAUGUCAAGGUAGAGGGGGUGGAAUGUUUGGCCCUGGUCGACACGGGCUCUACAGUAAGAGGCACUUUGGAGCGGGGGAAUGUGUGUGGCUUCACAACCCCACGCGCAAGAAGGGGCGGUGCCCAAAGCUGGACAGUGCAUGGGUGGGGCCGUGUCUGGUGAUAGAAAGAGUGGGGGAGGUGACGUACCGGGUGGAGGUCCCCCCACGGAGCAGGAAGGUGGUGGUCCACCGGGACCGAUUGGCACCCUACAGAGGGAGGAAAACGGUAGGAAAUGGGAGUGAGGUCUCUGAUGUGAGCCCACGGGAACAGUCUAACGAGGAGACUCUAGCGCAACCUGAGCCUGGGAUGGGGGCUGCUUCUUCGGAGGGCGCUGGAAAUGACAUUGGGGCAGAUGAGUGUUCUGGGGGUUCACCAGUGAGAGCCACGGGGAGGCACAAGAGACUGAUGCGACCUCCGGGUCGUUUUAAGGAUUUUGUUGUGUAACCCUAGGGGCUAGGGUUUAGAAAGGGGGGGGCUAUGUAACGACCCGGUAUUGUGUUCUGUGUUUGUGGGUGUGUUUCUGUUCGGAGCCCGGCAUGAUAUAAUUGUGUACGUUCGGCAUUUAGCGGCGUGGGCUGUGGCCUGAACAAUAGCCCAGUUUAGGAAUAAACCUGUGUUCUGACCUGCA